AGCCCGCUCCCGGUAAAACGGGACGGCCCGCCAGAGGACCCCUAAACUCUGUUUCUAUAUGUAACUUCUGAGUAAAACCAUAAAUAAAUCAAAACUUUCAACAACGGAUCUCUUGGUUCUGGCAUCGAUGAAGAACGCAGCAAAAUGCGAUAAGUAAUGUGAAUUGCAGAAUUCAGUGAAUCAUCGAAUCUUUGAACGCACAUUGCGCCCGCCAGUAUUCUGGCGGGCAUGCCUGUUCGAGCGUCAUUUCAACCCUCAAGCACAGCUUGGUGUUGGGACUCGCGUUAAUUCGCGUUCCUCAAAUUGAUUGGCGGUCACGUCGAGCUUCCAUAGCGUAGUAGUAAAACCCUCGUUACUGGUAAUCGUCGCGGCCACGCCGUUAAACCCCAACUUCUGAAUGUUGACCUCGGAUCAGGUAGGAAUACCCGCUGAACUUAAGCAUAU
rnacentral:rRNA from 1 species